GACAGAGGGUGCAAACGUUGUUCGGAAUUACUGGGCGUAAAGCGUGUGUAGGCGGUCUUAAAAGUCAGGUGUGAAAGCCCCGGGCUCAACCCGGGAAGUGCACUUGAAACUGCAAGGCUAGAGUACUGGAGAGGUUGGUGGAAUUCUCGGUGUAGAGGUGAAAUUCGUAGAUAUCGAGAGGAACACCGGUGGCGAAGGCGGCCAACUGGACAGAUACUGACGCUGAGACUCGAAAGCGUGGGGAGCAAACAGG
rnacentral:rRNA from 1 species